UGGAGACAGGUGCUGCAUGGCUGUCGUCAGCUCGUGUCGUGAGAUGUUGGGUUAAGUCCCGCAACCGAGCGCAACCCCUAUCUUUAGUUGCCAUCAUUGAGUUGGGCACUCUAAAGAGACUGCCGGUGUCAAACCGGAGGAAGGUGGGGAUGACGUCAAGUCCUCAUGGCCUUUAUGACCAGGGCUACACACGUACUACAAUGGCCGGUACAAAGGGCAGCGACACAGCGAUGUGAAGCGAAUCCCGAAAAGCCGGUCUCAGUCCGGAUUGGAGUCUGCAACUCGACUCCAUGAAGUUGGAAUCGCUAGUAAUCGCGGAUCAGCACGCCGCGGUGAAUACGUUCCCGGGCCUU
rnacentral:rRNA from 1 species